AGUGAGCGCUGGCGGUAGGCCUAACACAUGCAAGUCGAACGGCAGCACAGUAAGAGCUUGCUCUUACGGGUGGCGAGUGGCGGACGGGUGGGGAAUACAUCGGAAUCUACUUUUUCGUGGGGGAUAACGUAGGGAAACUUACGCUAAUACCGCAUACGACCUACGGGUGAAAGCAGGGGAUCUUCGGACCUUGCGCGAUUGAAUGAGCCGAUGUCGGAUUAGCUAGUUGGCGGGGUAAAGGCCCACCAAGGCGACGAUCCGUAGCUGGUCUGAGAGGAUGAUCAGCCACACUGGAACUGAGACACGGUCCAGACUCCUACGGGAGGCAGCAGUGGGGAAUAUUGGACAAUGGGCGCAAGCCUGAUCCAGCCAUACCGCGUGGGUGAAGAAGGCCUUCGGGUUGUAAAGCCCUUUUGUUGGGAAAGAAAAGCAGCAGGUUAAUACCCCGCUGUUCUGACGGUACCCAAAGAAUAAGCACCGGCUAACUUCGUG
rnacentral:rRNA from 1 species